UCAGAAGAUGGAGAAACAGGAAGACCCA
rnacentral:piRNA from 1 species